AAAAUUAUUAAAAUUAAAAAAUAAAGUUAAAUUAAAAUAAAAUGUAAAAUAAAAUAAAAAUUAAUUAAAUAAUUAAAAAAUAAAAAAUGGAUAAAAAAUGAUUUAUUGAUAAUGAUUUAUUGAGCUGUUGGGUGCGAUUUAGCAGAAAAUUAUAUAAUUUGACUUCAACCCAGAUACAAACAGAGAUGGCGAUAUUCAGGCAAAACGUAACAGACGACUUCAGAAAAUGUUUAUGUUCAGAGAACAAAUGGUGAGUUAGAUGGCCAACUUCAAUAGGUUUAGGGGUUCUAAAAUUAAACCAUUUGUAACAUUGCUAUUAAGCAUCACUAUUUAAAGCCUGAAAAUCUUGGCAGCAUAAAAGGGUGUUACAGCCAAACCUCUUGGAGCGGAACUUAGUAAUAUGAAAUAAUGCAGUCGUUUUGUGUAGAAUGCAGGAGUGGCCGUUCCAUAAUCUAUUUUCCUUUAGACCUUUGGCCCUUCCCAUCUCUGGCACUGUUUCGAACCAAGCUCUGACAAAUCUGGUAGCAGUCGCCCAUCCAGUUUGUUCUGUUUCUCUUCACGAGUCAGAGUAUCUGCUAGACAUGAAACUUGAAUCAGAUCUGUCAGAGGCAGGACCAGCGGUCUUCAGCCCCCACAAACCGGCCUGGAACCUGCCACACCAAGCCAGGCAACCUCGAGCUGUGACCCAGUGCGCGUCUUCACCCCACCGAACAUCGCAGAUCGCAACCAACCAUCAAAGCAUGCGUGUUUUCUGUUUUCAUUAAAAUGCAUAUUUGUCCAACAAAGAAGAUCAUCUUGCAAAUAGUUAUCAAAAGGGUAAAGCGUACACAGACCUUCACCCCAUCUCAAAACAUGUGUACACGAACUGAGACCUGGCGUGAGAUUUGAUCGUAGCAACUGCUCACGUCCAUAUUGAUAAAUGCCAAGUUUUGCGUGGAAACGACCGUACGCCUAGUUUUCGGUCGUACGCUCGUUUCAUAAAUGAGGCCCUUUGUGUCCAUACAAUGUAAGUCAAUGUGUUUGGUUACCACGGUUCUUCAAAAUAUUUUCUUCAGUGUUCUGCAGAAGAAUUCAAGUCAUACAGGUUUAGAAAGACCGAGGGUAUGACAUGACUUAAGAAUUUGUGUUUUGUGGUGAACUAUUACUUUAAUUUAAAGUUUGUGUAAAGAAGGAUAUGUUUAAUAAAACGAUAUUCAAAUUGGCAAGAUGGGCGUGUCUACUGUAAUCAACAUUACAAAAUCUAUAUUGUAUUUUAAAUAUAUUUCAAUAUCUAUUUAAACCUUAGUAGCCCAGCUUUGACCAUGAGAAAACAUUUCGAUAGUAUUACAUUGCAGAAGCUAUAAAAAUAGACAAACAUAUAAAAAAUAGAUACUUAAUUUUGUCCUGUCCUCAUAAUACCCCAUUUUGUGAGGCAGUUUGCUAUUUUAGGUUGCACCAAUUACCUUGAGAAACUGCUGUUAAGUCAAGCCAAAUCUAUUACAUAAUGUUUACAUGAAUCAGGAUUAGGCUUAUCAGUUGUAUGGCUAUACAAAUAAAACAGGAGAACAGUGAACUAGAGGCCUUAUCUAAAUGCACCCUCUUUAUCAAACUGCAGAUGAAAUAUACAUGUUUUGGUGUCCUCUUCUGUUUAACUAACAGUGCCAUGACUUGCAAGUUUUAUGUUUGCGAUUAGCUUAGUAGGGUCAAAGUUUAUCUUAUACCAACUGUGUCCAAACUAAUAAGUAUAUGCAUACAGUAUGAAAACUACAACGCAAUAGGCAUACUAAUAUAUUUUGUAGUGUAAAUUGUGUUGCAAACCCAUCGAUAAAUAAAAGGUUGUAAUCAUCUAGGGCAGUGGUUCUCAAACUUUUUCAUUGUAAGGCCCCCUUUGUGUAGGGUGCAUCACGUUGUGGCCCCCCAAAUAAGUACUUAUAAUCUUAUACUUGAACAAAAACAUAUUCAGUUUUACAAUGCUGGAACAUCAAUUCUUUUGGUUGGUGGUCUUAUUUUUCUGAUGUUUGAUUGCAUAAAAUGUAUGAUAAAUUAUUAUAUUUCAUAAAAUGCCACAAAAUCUGUGGCCUCCCUGGAUCCAUCUUGGGGUUGGAUCCAGGCCCCCAGUUUGAGAACCACUGAUCUAGGGCACAACUUAAAACAUAUCGGUCCAAUGGAAAGACGUUAAGCUAUUUUAAAAUAACGUGCGCACGUGCCCUUCAAAAAAGUUGUCAGAACAGGUCUGAAAACAGGUAUUUGGAAUUCUGGUUGAAGGGCCAUUUCUUCGCAGGAAGUGGUGGUAUUUCGGUCUAACCUGAUUGAGAGUUUGUGUUAAACGUAUGAAGAACUACCCCAUGUGCAAACGUCUUAACAAAGAGUGUCACAUAUUACAGUCAUUGCAUAGGCAUGUGCUGGUUUAUCGGUAUGUAACCGCAA